AAUUCCCCACAGGGGGGUAGGGCAGGCAGGCUUUGGCCACAGGGCUUUGGGCUCCGUCCACACAGUGGCAGGCUCUGGUUCCAGGCUCCGGCCCCAGGCUCACCACCCCUGCCAUCGUCCCUGGGCCCCGCUGCCCUUCUGCCCACCUCCUCAUCCAGGGUUUAAUUUGUCCCAGGGCUUGCUGGGGCUGAGUAAACUGUCUGCUGUGGU